rnacentral:rRNA from 1 species
CAGCCGCCGCGGGAAUACGUAGGUGGCAAGCGUUGUCCGGAACUAUUGAGCGUAAAGGGCUCGCAGGCGGUUUCUUAAGUCUGAUGUGAAAGCCCCCGGCUCAACCGGGGAGGGUCAUUGGAAACUGGGAAACUUGAGUGCAGAAGAGGAGAGUGGAAUUCCACGUGUAGCGGUGAAAUGCGUAGAGAUGUGGAGGAACACCAGUGGCGAAGGCGACUCUCUGGUCUGUAACUGACGCUGAGGAGCGAAAGCGUGGGGAGCGAACAGGAUUAGAGACCCCCGUAGUCCCUGUCUCUUAUAC